AUUGAACGCUGGCGGCAGGCCUAACACAUGCAAGUCGAACGAGCGGCGGACGGGUGAGUAAUGUCUGGGAAACUGCCUGAUGGAGGGGGAUAACUACUGGAAACGGUAGCUAAUACCGCAUACCAUCGGAUGUGCCCAGAUGGGAUUAGCUUGUAGGUGGGGUAACGGCUCACCUAGGCGACGAUCCCUAGCUGGUCUGAGAGGAUGACCAGCCACACUGGAACUGAGACACGGUCCAGACUCCUACGGGAGGCAGCAGUGGGGAAUAUUGGACAAUGGACGAAAGCCUGAUGCAGCCACGCCGCGUGUAUGAAGAAGGCCUUCGGAUUGUAAAGCACUGUCGUCGGGGAGGCGGUACCCACAGAGAAAGCACCGGCUAACUCCGUGCCAGCAGCCGCGGUAAUAC
rnacentral:rRNA from 1 species